AAUUUGUAAUCUGGCCCUUUCAGGGUCCGAGUUGUAAUCUCGAGAAGUGUUUUCCGCGCCGGACCGCAUACAAGUCUGUUGGAAUACAGCGUCAUAGUGGUGAGAGCCCCGUAAUUGAUGUGGAUGCCCGGUGCUUUGUGAUACACUUUCGAAGAGUCGAGUUGUUUGGGAAUGCAGCUCAAAUUGGGUGGUAAAUUCCAUCUAAAGCUAAAUAUUGGCGAGAGACCGAUAGCGAACAAGUACCGUGAGGGAAAGAUGAAAAGCACUUUGGAAAGAGAGUUAACAGUACGUGAAAUUGUUGGAAGGGAAACGCUUGAAGUCAGACUUGCUAUUCGGAAUUCAGCCGCAAGGUGUACUUUUCGAUUUGCAGGCCAGCAUCAGUUUUUGGGGGUGGAAAAGGGUGGAGAGAAGGUAGCAACCUUGGUUGUGUUAUAGCUCUUUACUGGAUUCAUCUUUGGGGACUGAGGAUCGCAGUGCGCAAUUUACUUUGCAAACCUUUCGAGGUUUUCGUACUUAGGAUGCUGGUGGAAUGGCUUUAAACGACCCGUCUUGAA
rnacentral:rRNA from 1 species